AAGCGGAGGAAAAGAAACCAACAGGGAUUGCCCUAGUAACGGCGAGUGAAGCGGCAACAGCUCAAAUUUGAAAUCUGGCUCUCGGGCCCGAGUUGUAAUUUGUAGAGGAUGCUUUUGGUGAGGUGCCUUCCGAGUUCCCUGGAACGGGACGCCAUAGAGGGUGAGAGCCCCGUCUGGUUGGACACCGAGCCUCUGUAAAGCUCCUUCGACGAGUCGAGUAGUUUGGGAAUGCUGCUCUAAAUGGGAGGUAUAUGUCUUCUAAAGCUAAAUAUUGGCCAGAGACCGAUAGCGCACAAGUAGAGUGAUCGAAAGAUGAAAAGCACUUUGAAAAGAGAGUUAAAAAGCACGUGAAAUUGUUGAAAGGGAAGCGCUUGUGACCAGACUUGGGCUUGGUUGAUCAUCCGGCGUUCUCGCCGGUGCACUCUUCCAGUUCAGGCCAGCAUCAGUUUGCUUCGGGGGAUAAAAGUUUCGGGAAUGUGGCUCCUCCGGGAGUGUUAUAGCCCGUUACAUAAUACCCUGGGGCAGACUGAGGUUCGCGCAUUUAUGCAAGGAUGCUGGCGUAAUGGUCAUCAGCGACCCGUCUUGAAACACGGACCAAGGAGUCGUCUUCGUAUGCGAGUGUUCGGGUGUCAAACCCCUACGCGUAAUGAAAGUGAACGCAGGUGAGAGCUUCGGCGCAUCAUCGACCGAUCCUGAUGUUCUCGGAUGGAUUUGAGUAAGAGCAUACGGGGCCGGACCCGAAAGAAGGUGAACUAUGCCUGUAUAGGGUGAAGCCAGAGGAAACUCUGGUGGAGGCUCGCAGCGGUUCUGACGUGCAAAUCGAUCGUCAAAUAUGGGCAUGGGGGCGAAAGACUAAUCGAACCUUCUAGUAGCUGGUUCCG
rnacentral:rRNA from 1 species